rnacentral:misc_RNA from 1 species
GAUGAAGAACGUAGCGAAAUGCGAUAAGUAAUGUGAAUUGCAGAAUUCAGUGAAUCAUCGAAUCUUUGAACGCACAUUGCGCCCGCCAGUAUUCUGGCGGGCAUGCCUGUACGAGCGUCAUUUCAACCCUCAGGCCCCCAGUGCCUGGUGUUGGGGAUCGGCCCAGCCUUCCUGUAAGGCCGCCGGCCCCGAAAUCUAGUGGCGGUCUCGCUGUAGUCCUCCUCUGCGUAGUAGCACAACCUCGCAGUUGGAACGCGGCGGUGGCCAUGCCGUUAAACACCCCACUUCUGAAAGUUGACCUCGGAUCAGGUAGGAAUACCCGCUGAACUUAAGCAUAUCAAUAAGCGGAGGA